GAUGGCGGCCAUAGCACAUGGGUUUUACCUGAUCCCAUUCUGAACUCAGAAGUCAAGCCCAUGAGCGUUGAGGGAGAUGUGCGGUGCGCGAGCCCGUGACAGGCCCUCAAGCUGCCACUU
rnacentral:rRNA from 1 species